rnacentral:tRNA from 1 species
GCCUGGGUGGCUCAGUCGGUUGAGCGUCUGACUUCAGCUCAGGUCAUGAUCUCGCAGUCCACGAGUUUGAGCCCCGCAUCGGGCU